rnacentral:rRNA from 1 species
AAUCAACGCUGGCGGCGUGCCUAACACAUGCAAGUCGAACGCGAAAGCCCCGCAAGGGGGUGAGUAGAGUGGCAAACGGGUGAGUAACACGUGGGUGAUCUGCCUCAGAGUGGGGGAUAACGACCCGAAAGGGUCGCUAAUACCGCAUAACAUCCUGCCUUUGGAUAGGUGGCGAUCAAAGUUGGGGAUCCGCAAGGACCUGACGCUUGGAGAGGAGCCCGCGGCCGAUUAGCAGUUGGUGAGGUAACGGCUCACCAAGGCAACGAUCGGUAUCCGGCCUGAGAGGGCGGACGGACACACUGGGACUGAGACACGGCCCAGACUCCUACGGGAGGCAGCAGUGGGGAAUUGUUCGCAAUGGGCGCAAGCCUGACGACGCAACGCCGCGUGGAGGACGAAGAUUUCGGAUCGUAAACUCCUUUCGAUCGGGAAGAACAGCUCCUGGGUUAAUAGCCUGAGAGUCUGACGGUA